rnacentral:rRNA from 1 species
AUGAGGACUACCCAAAUGUUGCUCCUGGCCAUCGCCAUCCUCGUGCUAGCAUCAGAUUUUGUAGAUGCGCUAAUGGAGGCAUCAGCGGACAUUAGUAUUGAUCCCGUCACAUGUACAUCAAAAAUCAUGCCAUCGCCAACGCCCUGUGAAAACCAAAGUUGCAACAAGACAUGUGUUGAAGGUCUAGGGUACCUCGCAGCUGGAUGCGCAAACGAUCAUAAUUGGUGUAGCAGCGAGGUUGUUCACUGA